GUCUUUGUGGUCUAGAGGUAUGUUUCAUACCACUCGAUCAUGACGAAUAUUGCGUGCUAACGGCACGCUCAGGUAUGAUUCUCGCUUAGGGUAAACCCUGAAGCAUCUUGCGAGAGGUCCCGGGUUCGACUCCCGGCAAAGAGU